AUGGUUAUUCUGCUUCACUGUACUCCUCAGUGUGACCACCAGGUCCAGCUGGUGCAAUCUGGAGUUGCAUUGAAGAAGUCUGGGUCAUCAGUGAACAUCUCUUGCAAGACAUCUGCAUACGCCUUCACUGACUAGCAUAUGCAUUAGGUGCAUUAGAUCCCUGGACAUGGGUUUAAGUGGUUCGGAAUUAUUAAUCCUAGCAAUGGGGGAACAAGCUACAUACAGAAGUUCUAGGGCAGAGUCACCAUGACCAGUGAAAAAUUCAUAAGCACACCUUACAUGGAUUUAAGUAGCCUGAGCUCUGAGGACACGGCCAUGUAUUACUGUGCAAGAGACACAGUGUGCUAA